GACGAACGCUGGCGGCGCGCCUAACACAUGCAAGUCGAACGGAGAUCAUCCUUCGGGGUGGUUUUAGUGGCGGACGGGUGAGUAACACGUGAGGAACCUGCCUUUGAGAGUGGGAUACCGUCUGGAAACGGACGUUAAUACCGCAUGAUGCAGCGAGGCCACAUGGCCAUGCUGCCAAAGAUUUAUCGCUCAAAAGAUGGCCUCGCGUCUGAUUAGAUAGUUGGCGGGUAAUGGCCCACCAAGUCUACGAUCAGUAGCCGGACUGAGAGGUCGAACGGCCACAUUGGGACUGAGAUACGGCCCAGACUCCUACGGGAGGCAGCAGUGGGGAUAUUGCACAAUGGGCGAAAGCCUGAUGCAGCGACGCCGCGUGAGGGAAGACGGUUUUCGGAUUGUAAACCUCUGUCUUCGGGGACGAAACAAGACGGUACCGAGGAGGAAGCCACGGCUAACUACGUG
rnacentral:rRNA from 1 species